rnacentral:rRNA from 1 species
UACGUAGGGAGCUAGCGUUGUCCGGAAUCAUUGGGCGUAAAGCGCGCGUAGGCGGCCCGGUAAGUCCGCUGUGAAAGUCAAAGGCUCAACCUUUGAAUGUCAGCGGAUACUGCCGGGCUAGAGUCCGGAAGAGGCGAGUGGAACUCCUGGUGUAGCGGUGGAAUGCGCAGAUAUCAGGAAGAACACCAACGGCGAAGGCAGCUCGCUGGGACGGAACUGACGCUGAGGAGCGAAAGCAUGGGGAGCGAACAGG